GUAGGUGGCAAGCGUUGUCCGGAAUUAUUGGGCGUAAAGCGCGCGCAGGCGGUUCCUUAAGUCUGAUGUGAAAGCCCACGGCUCAACCGUGGAGGGUCAUUGGAAACUGGAGAACUUGAGUACAGAAGAGGAAAGCGGAAUUCCACGUGUAGCGGUGAAAUGCGUAGAGAUGUGGAGGAACACGAGUGGCGAAGGCGGCUUUCUGGUCUGUAACUGACGCUGAGGCGCGAAAGCGUGGGGGAGCAAACAGGAUUAGAUACCCUGGUAGUCCACGCCGUAAACGAUGAGUGCUAAGUGUUAGGGGGUUUCCGCCCCUUAGUGCUGCAGCUAACGCAUUAAGCACUCCGCCUGGGAGUACAGCCGCAAGGCUG
rnacentral:rRNA from 1 species